rnacentral:rRNA from 1 species
UAUUACACAAUGGGGGAAACCGUGAUGCAGCGACGCCGCGCGAGUGAAGAAGUAUUUCGGUAUGUAAAGCUCUAUCAGCAGGGAAGAAAAUGACGGUACCUGAUUAAGAGGCCCCGGCUAACGACGCGCCAGCAGCCGCGGUAAUACGUAGGGGGCAAGCGUUAUCCGGAUUUACUGGGUGUAAAGGGAGCGUAGACGGCAGCACAAGUCUGGAGUGAAAUGCCGGGGCUUAACCCCGGAACUGCUUUGGAAACUGUAUGGCUGGAGUGCAGGAGAGGUAAGUGGAAUUCCUAGUGUAGCGGUGAAAUGCGUAGAUAUUAGGAGGAACACCAGUGGCGAAGGCGGCUUACUGGACUGUAACUGACGUUGAGGCUCGAAAGCGUGGGGAGCAAACAGG